AGUGAACGCUGGCGGCGUGCCUAACACAUGCAAGUCGAGCGGUUUCAGGGUAGCAAUACCUUGGAAUAGCGGCGAACGGGUGAGUAACACGUGGGUAAUCUCCCCUCGAGUGAGGAAUAAACCCUCGAAAGGGGGCCUAAUACCGCAUGAGGCUCCGGGACUUAUGUCUUCGGAGUUAAAGCCGAAAGGCGCUUGAGGAUGAGCCUGCGUCCUAUUAGCUAGUUGGUAGGGUAAUGGCCUACCAAGGUUAUGAUGGGUAGCCGGCCUGAGAGGGUGUACGGCCACACUGGGACUGAGACACGGCCCAGACUCCUACGGGAGGCAG
rnacentral:rRNA from 1 species